GUAUCCUGUGUCCUCUACACUGGGUUUGCAGUGUUUUCCGAUGGUUGGGAUGAGGUGAGGUCUUUGGGUGAGAAAGGGUAUCUCACUAAUCCUUGGGAUAAAGCAAGCUGUUGAGUCUCAGCUACAUCAAUAUUAAUUCUGAUAGAGU